rnacentral:rRNA from 1 species
CUUGGUCAUUUAGAGGAAGUAAAAGUCGUGACAAGGUUUCCGUAGGUGAACCUGCGGAAGGAUCAUUCAUAAUAAGUGUUUUAUGGCACUUUUUUAAAUCCAUAUCCACCUUGUGUGCAAUGUCAGGGUUGGUCUCUUGAAAAAGAGAUCAGCCCCAAACAUCAACCCAAUCUUAACUCUUUGUCUGAAAAAUAUUAUGAAUAAAACAAUUCAAAAUACAACUUUCAACAACGGAUCUCUUGGCUCUCGCAUCGAUGAAGAACGCAGCGAAAUGCGAUACGUAAUGUGAAUUGCAGAAUUCAGUGAAUCAUCGAAUCUUUGAACGCAUAUUGCGCUCUUUGGUAUUCCGAAGAGCAUGCUUGUUUGAGUAUCAGUAAACACCUCAAAGCCUUUUUUUGUUAAGAGGCCUUGGACUUGAGCAAUCCCAACACUUUUCCUCCAAGAAAAGUGGCGGGUUGCUUGAAAUGCAGGUGCAGCUGGACAUUCUCCUGAGCUAAAAGCAUAUUCAUUUAGUCCCGUCAAACGGAUUAUUACUUUUGCUGCAGCUAACAUAAAGGGAGUUUGACCAUUUUGGCUGACUGAUGCAGGAUUUUCACAAGAGUCUUCAAAAGCUUUUGUUAAACUCGAUCUCAAAUCAAGUAAGACUACCCGCUGAACUUAAGCAUAUCAAUAAGCGGAGGA